CGGUGCUACGGCGUCCAUCCCUCCGCGUCUUGGCUGCUGGACUGGACCAGAAACAGCCAAGCUCUGCCACUGCCCAGGACUGGAUGGAAUCAGGUUAUGUAAGUGAACAUCACAUAAGAAGAAACAAUCAUACUACAGAAGGUUUUUCUUCACCUUUUUGGUAGCCUGUUUAAAAAACAAAACUUUUAUAUGCUUCAUUCAGGACAUAGGCAUGGGCAAAGACUUCAAGACUAAAACACCAAAAGCAAUGGCAACAAAAGCCAAUAUUGACAAAUGGAAUCUAAUUAAGCUAAAGAGCUUCUGCACUGCAAAAGAACCUAUCAUCAGAGUGAACAGGUAACCUACAGAAUGGGAGAAAAUUUUUGCAAUCUAUCCAUCUGACAAAGGGCUAAUAUCCAGAAUCUAUAAUGAACUUAAACAAAUUUACAAGAAAAAAACAAACAACCCCAUCAAAAAGUGGGCAAAGGAUAUGAACAGACACUUCUCAAAAGAAGACAUUUAUGCGGCCAACAAAUAUAUGAAAAAAAGCUCAUCAUCACUGGUCAUUAGAGAAAUGCAAAUCAAAACCACAAUGAGAUACCCUCUCAUGCCAGUUAGAAUGGCGAUCAUUAAAAAGUCAGGAAACAACAGAUGCUGGAGAGGAUGUGGAGAAAUAGGAAUGCUUUUACACUGUUGGUGGGAGUGUAAAUUAGUUCAACCACUGUGGAAGACAGUGGGGUGAUUCCUCAAGGAUUAGAACCAGAAAUACCAUCUGACCCAGCAAUCCCAUUAUCGCGUAUAUACUCAAAGGAUUAUAAAUCAUUCUACUAUAAAGACACAUGCACACGUAUGUCUACUGCAGCACUAUUCACAAUAGUAAAGACUUGGAACCAACCCAAAUGUCCAUCAGUGAUAGACUGGAUAGAGAAAAUGUGGCACAUAUACACCAUGGAAUACUAUGGAGCCAAAAAAAAGGAUGAGUUCAUGUCUUUGCAGGGACAUGGAUGAAGCUGGAAACCAUCACUCUCAACAAACUAACACAGGAACAGAAAACCAAACACCACAUGUUCUCACUCAUAAGUGGGAGUUGAACAAUGAGAACACAGGGAGGGGAACAUCAUACACUGGGGCCUAUUGGUAGGUGGGGGGCUAGGGGAGGGAUAGCAUUAGGAGAAGUACCUAAUGUAGAUGACAGGUUGAUGGAUGCAGCAAACCACCAUGGCACAUGUAUACC
ensembl:lncRNA novel transcript